UCGAAUUUGAUCGCCUUCCAUACUUCACAAGCUGCGGCUAGUUCAGGACUCCAUUUUCAAGCUGCUCGGAUAAUUUCAUUACCUCGAGCAAGAUCGCGCCCUUCAUUACGAGCUUGUACACAGGCUUCUAAAGCCACUCGAUUAGCUACUGCACCAGGUGCAUUUCCCCAAGGAUGUCCUAAAGUUCCUCCACCAAAUUGUAAUACAGAAUCGUCCCCAAAGAUUUCGGUCAGAGCCGGCAUAUGCCAAACAUGA
rnacentral:rRNA from 1 species